UGCAGAAUCCCGUGAACCAUCGAGUCUUUGAACGCAAGUUGCGCCCGAUGCCAUUAGGUUGAGGGCACGUCUGCCUGGGCGUCACGUAUCGAAGCCUCUUGCCAAUUUCCUAUUUGAUAGGUAUUGUGCAGGAUGAUGUUGGCCUCCCGUGAGCUCCAUCGUCUCAUGGUUGGUUGAAAAUCGAGACCUUGGUAGCGUGUGCCAUGAUAGAUGGUGGAUGUGUUACGCACGAGACCAAAUAAUCAUGUGCUGCUCUAUUGAAUUUAGCCUCUUUUACCCACAUGCGUUUCUAAACGCUCGUGAUGAGACCUCAGGUCAGGCGGGGCUACCCGCUGAAUUUAAGCAUAUCAAUAAGCGGAGGAAAAGAAACUAACAAGGAUUCCCUUAGUAACGGCGAGCGAACCGGGAUAAGCCCACCAUGAGAAUCGGUCGCCCUCGGCGUUCGA
rnacentral:sRNA from 1 species